UACGUAGGGUCCGAGCGUUGUUCGGAAUUACUGGGCGUAAAGGGCGCGUAGGCGGCCUGCUAAGUCGAACGUGAAAUCCCCGGGCUCAACCCGGGAACUGCGUCCGAUACUGGCAGGCUUGAAUCCGGGAGAGGGAUGUGGAAUUCCAGGUGUAGCGGUGAAAUGCGUAGAUAUCUGGAGGAACACCCGUGGCGAAGGCGGCCAACUGGGCCGGACCUGACGCUGAGGCGCGAAGGCGUGGGGAGCGAACGGG
rnacentral:rRNA from 1 species